UACAGAGGUCUCAAGCGUUGUUCGGAUUCAUUGGGCGUAAAGGGUGCGUAGGUGGCGGGGUAAGUCUGGUGUGAAAUCUCGGGGCUCAACCCCGAAACUGCACUGGAUACUGCCUUGCUCGAGUACUGGAGAGGAGAUUGGAAUUUACGGUGUAGCAGUGAAAUGCGUAGAUAUCGUAAGGAAGACCAGUGGCGAAGGCGAAUCUCUGGACAGUUACUGACACUGAGGCGCGAAAGCGUGGGGAGCAAACAGG
rnacentral:rRNA from 1 species